GAACUGUUCGCCGACAGCAGACCCUCCCUCCCAGACCCUCCCACCUCCUGGACAGCAUCCAUUGUGAAGCUGCAUUCUUAAUGAGCUGUCCAGGAGGUGGGAGGGUCUGGGAGGGAGGGUCUGUUGCUGAUUGGCUGG